AGGCGGCCGCCAUGUUGGAUGUGGCUCCACCUGGGGAGCAGCUGGAGCGCAAGGGAGGCAGGAAGGGCUCAAGCGGCCUCUGCCUCUUUUCUGAGCUCGUUCCUAGACCCCCUCUGCCGUCUGCACGCUCUUUUCCAGCCACCCGGCCUCCCGAUGCCGGCCUAGCACGUUCCCCCCGGCAGACUUUUGCAUUUGCCCUUCCCACUGUCUUUCCUGUGCAAAAGGGGUCCUGAGUACCCCUCAUGGAAUAGCGUCGCCUCCUCUCUACCUUCACAUACACCCCGAAACUUGCCUCUCAUCCUGUGUGUUUCUCCAUAGAUUUUUGCACCAUCUGACCGACUAAGCCCUACCCUUCCCUAGACCAUGUCACCACUCCAUUGCAUCCUCUGCCAUUGUCCCUCAGAAUAUUCCUAGAUGGCGUUUAUCACUGUGGAUAGUUAUCACCAUUCAGGGUUUUGGCUAAGAUCAAGUGUACCAUCACCGUGAGUGGCUUAUACCUGUAAUCCCAGUACUUUGGAAGGUGGAGGCAGGAGGAUUGCUUGAGGCCAGGAGUUUCAGACCAGUCCAGGCAAUAUAGCGAGACCCCCAUCUCUAUAAAAAAUUUUUAAAAAUUAGCCAGGGGGUGGCAGCAGAGGCUUGUGCAGCCAUGCCCAAGAUUAAGGCUGGGACUUCCUUGGCAAGGAGCAGGAGCUGCUGAAGUCGCUGGUCAACCUAUGGGUGAAGCUGUCCCAGCUGUGCGUCACCAAUGUCAGCAGUCCCCAGUCUUUUGGCACCAGGGACCAGUUUUGUGGAAGAUAAUUUUUCCAUGAAUGGGGGCGGGGGGAUGGUUUUUGAAUGAUUCAAGCACAUUAUGCUUAUCGCAUACUCUAUCUACUAUUAUUACGUUGUAAUAUGUGAUCAACUAAUUCUACAACUCAAGAUGAUAUUGAAUCAAUGAGAGCCCUGAGCUUCUUUCCCUGCAACUAGACAGUCCCAUCUGGGGGUGAUGGGAGAUAGUGACAGGUCAUCAGGCAUUAGAUGCUCAUAAGGAGUGCACAGCCACCGGGCGUGGUGGCUCAUGCCUGUAAUCCCAGCAUUUUGGGAGGCCAAGGUGGUGGAUCACCUGAGGUCAGGAGUUUAAGACCAGCAUGGCCAACAUGGCGAAACCCUGUCUCUGCGAAAAAAACAAAAACUAACCAGGGGUGGUGGCACAUGCCUGUAAUCCCAGCUACUCAGGAGACUGAGGCAGAAGAAUUGCUUGAACCGAGGAGGCAAAGGUUGCAAUGAGCCAAGAUCACGCCACUGCACUCCAGCCUGGGUGACAGAACGAGACUUCAUCACAAAAAAAAAAACAAGACAGAAAAAAAUUGAGACAGGAUCUCACUAUGAUGCCUAGCCUGCAUUUGGACUAAAAUGACCCACCUGCCUCAGUCUCCCAAAGUGCUGCGAUUACAGGUGCGAGCCACCAUGCCUGCCUGGUCUAUUUUAGUUUUUAGAGUCAGGGUCUUGUUCUGUCACCCAGGCUGCAGUGCAGUGGUGCAAUCAUAGCUCACUGCAGCCUUGAGCUGCUGGGCUCAAGCGAUCCUCCCACCUCAGCUUCCCAAAGUGCUGGGAUUACAGGCAUGCGUCAUCACGGCAGGCCCAAUUAGGUAAGUUUUGAAGUAUGUCUACACCCGCCAGACCACCACCAGAAUGACAUAAUGAGUAUCACCUGAUGCUCGUGUUCAUCAAAGCCUCUGCUUUCUUCCCAUGAUCACAGCAUGUCAUUGUACACUCAUUUGCCUUCAUGCUUGUGAUGUCUUCCCCAUUAAACUGGGUGCCUGGUGAGGACAGGGAACACA